rnacentral:rRNA from 1 species
UKUAWGUAAAAAGUCGUAACAAGGUUUCCGUAGGUGAACCUGCGGAAGGAUCAUUACUGAGUGAGGGCCCUCUGGGUCCAACCUCCCACCCGUGUUUAUUGUACCUUGUUGCUUCGGUGCGCCCGCCUCACGGCCGCCGGGGGGCUUCUGCCCCCGGGUCCGCGCGCACCGGAGACACUAUUGAACUCUGUCUGAAGAUUGCAGUCUGAGCAUAAACUAAAUAAGUUAAAACUUUCAACAACGGAUCUCUUGGUUCCGGCAUCGAUGAAGAACGCAGCGAAAUGCGAUAACUAAUGUGAAUUGCAGAAUUCAGUGAAUCAUCGAGUCUUUGAACGCACAUUGCGCCCCCUGGUAUUCCGGGGGGCAUGCCUGUCCGAGCGUCAUUGCUGCCCUCAAGCACGGCUUGUGUGUUGGGCUCCGUCCCCCCGGGGACGGGUCCGAAAGGCAGCGGCGGCACCGAGUCCGGUCCUCGAGCGUAUGGGGCUUUGUCACCCGCUCWGKAGGCCCGGCCGGCGCCAGCCGACAACCAAUCAUCCUUUUUCAGGUGACCUCGAUCAGGA